rnacentral:lncRNA from 1 species
AAUAUUCUCUUCGGUAAAUUUUCUCUUACUCCUAUUUAACGAAAAUCCUCUUUACACUAUAUGUAUGUCUAUUGCUAACAUAUUUUAGCUUUUAUUUUAUCAGAUUAUUUUUUUUAUUUGAUGUAUAGUAUGGUAUAGUAUCAUAACCGAUCCUAAUUAAACUCCUCUAGCGAAACAAUUUGGAUGAGUGCAUGCAUGCAUGCCGCUACAAGAGAAAUGUGGAGUGCUACCUUAUAAUCAGAGUUUUUUUUUUAAUUUUAUUUUAACUUUUGAGUCCUUCCCUUUUUAUAUUCUGUGCUUAAUUCUAUUUUGUUAUAUAAUUAAGUUAUGCCAUAACACAAAGGAUGAUAGAAUCAUGUGAGACUAUGCGGGGCUGAUCAGAUGACAAAUCCAUAUUGUAUAUAUCUCCUCAACAUGCCAAUGAUGCAACUCCAUGUGGACAAUAGUAUUUUUCCUACUCUAAAUUGAAACAAAAUAACUCAAAGCCUAGCUACUUAUUAUAGUAUAAAUAAAAUAUGUCCACAGGUAGGGUUGUAGCAAUCAAUGGUUGUUGAAGAUGCUGAAAAAUACAAACCAGAUGUAUGUACUUAAUGCACUUCUAUUUGUUAAUUAUGAAUCAAUGUCCUUUUGUAUCCUUUUGUUCGAG